rnacentral:rRNA from 1 species
GGUCAAGCGAAUAAGCGCACACGGUGGAUGCCUUGGCGGUCAGAGGCGAUGAAGGACGUGGCAGCCUGCGAAAAGUAUCGGGGAGCUGGCAACAAGCUUUGAUCCGGUAAUGUCCGAAUGGGGAAACCCACCCGCUUGCGGGUAUCCUGCAGUGAAUACAUAGCUGCUGGAAGCGAACCUGGUGAACUGAAAUAUCUAAGUAACCAGAGGAAAAGAAAUCAACCGAGAUUCCGUAAGUAGCGACGAGCGAACGCGGACUAGCCCUUAAGCUGGAUUGGUUCUAGGAAAACGCUCUGGAAAGAGCGGCCAUAGAAGGUGAUAGCCCUGUAUCUGAAAGGGCCAUUCCAGUGAAGACGAGUAGGGCGGGGCACGUGAAACCCUGUCUGAACAUGGGGGGACCAUCCUCCAAGGCUAAAUACUACUGACCGACCGAUAGUGAACCAGUACCGUGAGGGAAAGGCGAAAAGAACCCCGGAGAGGGGAGUGAAAUAGAACCUGAAACCGUGUGCGUACAAGCAGUAGGAGCUCCGCAAGGAGUGACUGCGUACCUUUUGUAUAAUGGGUCAGCGACUUACUGUUCGUGGCAAGCUUAACCGUAUAGGGGAGGCGAAGGGAAACCGAGUCUGAUAAGGGCGCAUAGUCGCGGGCAGUAGACCCGAAACCGGGUGAUCUAGUCAUGCCCAGGGUGAAGGUGCGGUAACACGCACUGGAGGCCCGAACCCACUCCCGUUGCAAAGGUAGGGGAUGAGGUGUGAUUAGGAGUGAAAAGCUAAUCGAACCCGGAGAUAGCUGGUUCUCCUCGAAAGCUAUUUAGGUAGCGCCUCAUAUGUAUCCUCUCGGGGGUAGAGCACUGUUAUGGCUAGGGGGUCAUCGCGACUUACCAAACCAUUGCAAACUCCGAAUACCGAGACGGACUGUAUGGGAGACACACGGCGGGUGCUAACGUCCGUCGUGAAAAGGGAAACAACCCAGACCCACAGCUAAGGUCCCAAAUUUUGUGCUAAGUGGAAAACCAUGUGGAAAGGCACAGACAGCCAGGAGGUUGGCUUAGAAGCAGCCACCCUUUAAAGAAAGCGUAAUAGCUCACUGGUCGAGUCGGUCUGCGGGGAAGAUUUAACGGGGCUAAGCAGUGAACCGAAGCUUGGGGUGCAUAACUUUGUUAUGCGCGGUAGAGGAGCGUUCCGUAAGCCGUUGAAGGUGGAUUGAGAAGUCUGCUGGAGGUAUCGGAAGUGCGAAUGCUGACAUGAGUAACGAUAAUGCGGGUGAAAAACCCGCACGCCGAAAGCCCAAGGUUUCCUUGCGCAACGUUAAUCGGCGCAGGGUGAGUCGGCCCCUAAGGCGAGGACGAAAGUCGUAGUCGAUGGGAAGCAGGUUAAUAUUCCUGCACCUCGCGUAAGUGCGAUGGAGGGACGGAGAAGGUUAGGUGUACCAGGCGUUGGUUGUCCUGGGGAAAGGCGGUAGGUUUGGAUCUUUGGCAAAUCCGGGAUCCUUUAAGACCGAGCACCGAGACGAGCCUUUAAGGCGAAGUCACUGAUACCACGCUUCCAGGAAAAGCUCCUAAGCUUCAGCUUACGCAGACCGUACCGUAAACCGACACAGGUGGGUAGGAUGAGAAUUCUCAGGCGCUUGAGAGAACUCGGGUGAAGGAACUAGGCAACAUGGCACCGUAACUUCGGGAGAAGGUGCACCCUUUUUGGUGGCUCGUGCGAGCUAUAGCUGAAGAGGGUCGCAGUAACCAGGCCGCUGCGACUGUUUAUCAAAAACACAGCACUCUGCAAACACGAAAGUGGACGUAUAGGGUGUGACGCCUGCCCGGUGCUGGAAGGUUAAUUGAUGGGGUCAGCCGCAAGGCGAAGCUCUUGAUCGAAGCCCCAGUAAACGGCGGCCGUAACUAUAACGGUCCUAAGGUAGCGAAAUUCCUUGUCGGGUAAGUUCCGACCUGCACGAAUGGCGUAACGACAGCGGCGCUGUCUCCACCCGAGACUCAGUGAAAUUGAAAUCGCUGUGAAGAUGCAGCGUUCCCGUGGCAAGACGGAAAGACCCCGUGAACCUUUACUAUAGCUUUACACUGAACGUUGAGUUCGUCUGUGUAGGAUAGGUGGGAGGCUACGAAACCAUGGCGCUAGCUGUGGUGGAGCCAUCCUUGAAAUACCACCCUGUCGUGCUUGACGUUCUAACCUGGGCCCAUUAUCUGGGUCGGGGACCGUGUAUGGUGGGUAGUUUGACUGGGGCGGUCUCCUCCUAAAGAGUAACGGAGGAGCUCGAAGGUACGCUCAGCGCGGUCGGACAUCGCGCACUGUGUGCAAAGGCAUAAGCGUGCUUGACUGCAAGAUCGACGGAUCAAGCAGGUAGGAAACUAGGACUUAGUGAUCCGGUGGUUCUGUAUGGAAGGGCCAUCGCUCAACGGAUAAAAGGUACUCCGGGGAUAACAGGCUGAUACCGCCCAAGAGUUCAUAUCGACGGCGGUGUUUGGCACCUCGAUGUCGGCUCAUCACAUCCUGGGGCUGUAGUCGGUCCCAAGGGUAUGGCUGUUCGCCAUUUAAAGUGGUACGCGAGCUGGGUUCAGAACGUCGUGAGACAGUUCGGUCCCUAUCUGCCAUGGGCGUUGGAGAUUUGAGAGGGGCUGCUCCUAGUACGAGAGGACCGGAGUGGACGAACCUCUGGUGUUCCGGUUGUCACGCCAGUGGCAUUGCCGGGUAGCUAUGUUCGGAAGCGAUAACCGCUGAAAGCAUCUAAGCGGGAAGCGCGCCUCAAGAUGAGAUCUCCCGGGGCACAAGCCCCCUGAAGGAACCAUGUAGACUACGUGGUUGAUAGGUCAGGUGUGUAAGUACAGCAAUGUAUUGAGCUAACUGAUACUAAUGAUCCGUGCGGCUUGACCAU